UAAGACAGAGGGUGCAAACGUUGUUCGGAAUUACUGGGCGUAAAGCGCGUGUAGGCUGCUCGGAAAGUCGGAUGUGAAAGCCCUGGGCUCAACCUAGGAAGUGCAUUCGAAACUUCCGAGCUGGAGUGCUGGAGAGGAAGGCGGAAUUCUCGGUGUAGAGGUGAAAUUCGUAGAUAUCGAGAGGAACACCGGUGGCGAAGGCGGCCUUCUGGACAGCCACUGACGCUGAGACGCGAAAGCGUGGGGAGCAAACAGGAUUAGAUACCCUGGUAGUCCACGCCGUAAACGAUGGGUGCUAGGUGUCGCGGGCUUUGACCCCUGCGGUGCCGUAGCUAACGCAUUAAGCACCCCGCCUGGGGAGUACGGCCGCAAGGCUA
rnacentral:rRNA from 1 species